GGAAGUGUUUCGUCACCGGUGUGGCGCCUGGACUUCAAAUCCAGUGGACGGGCUAACCCUCGUCGGUAGGUUCGACUCCUAUACACUUCCGCCA
rnacentral:tRNA from 2 species